rnacentral:rRNA from 1 species
CAGUAGCCGCGGUAAUACAUAGGGUGCGAGCGUUAAUCGGAUUUACUGGGCGUAAAGCGUGCGUAGGCGGCUUCUUAAGUCGGAUGUGAAAUCCCUGAGCUUAACUUAGGAAUUGCAUUCGAUACUGGGAAGCUAGAGUAUGGGAGAGGAUGGUAGAAUUCCAGGUGUAGCCGUGAAAUGCGUAGAGAUCUGGAGGAAUACCGAUGGCGAAGGCAGCCAUCUGGCCUAAUACUGACGCUGAGGUACGAAAGCAUGGGGAGCAAACAGGAUUAGAUACCCCCGUAGUCCCUGUCUCUUAUAC